GACCUCAUUAUGUAUUCAUAUAUUCAUCAAUGGCGGAGGCUGCGUCUAUCGAUGAAAAUGUAUGAAAUCAAAUUACAUACAUGCCUGUUAACUAAAAACGACUAUAAAUAUGAUGUAAUUUAUUUAUCGAAAUACAAAUAUUGUAUGUUUGUGCUUGGAUUAUUAUGGAAACAGUUACAAUAGCUGUUUUUCAAGGCGAUAUUGUCGGCUUUUGGACCCUUUUGGACCCCGCGGAUCAACCAAUGAGAAGACGAUCGACGUCAAAUAGAUGUUUGCAGCUUGCAGAAUGGAAAGAAAUUUGCAGCUAAAAUUAUUUUCACUUCUAUAAGAAAAUCUAACCGAAAAACUUACCUGUUGAUUUCAAGAUACAGUAUGCCAUUCCAGGUUUGAUGAAAAAAAUAGAGUGAUGCUUUGAACAUGCAUGAACAUGUUGAAAUUGGAGUUUUAUUUUUAUAGACAGCAAUGAUGAUCACCUGCACCGAGACAGCAGAAGAAAGUAACUUAUUUAUAACUCAUCAUGACCAUGAUGACCAUUUAAUACUGAAAAUCUGAUGAAAAUUUGUUUGGAAAGCCACCAAAUAUUUCAAUGAGAAGUAGAAAAAAGACAGCAAUUCUAUAUCAUGUAUAUCAUGUACUAAGCAGAAGCAUUUGCUGUUUCAAGACCCAAUUGAAUUGGAGUUUAGUGUUUUGAUGCAGUGAAACAGAGGAAUAUUUAAGUGAACAGUUUAGCUUCUUUUUCAUCCUCGUGAAAAAUGUGUUGCAACAGUUUCAUGGAUUUAAUUUGUGGUUUCUUUCGUGAAAUAUUUGAAAAAUCUGCAAUGACUAACCAAGUAGUUUAUAAGAGAUCUAAAGAUAAAUAUAUGACAUGUAUGAUAUUCAGAUGAAUUUGAAAGAAGGAAAUAUAUUGAUUUAUAAGACUUCAAUAUGAGUGUUUAGUUUAUUUUUUUGGCAAUUACAGGCAUGACAGGGAGUAAUUAUAAGAUAGAGUUAUUUGAUAUAAACAUAAAUCCUACCUACAGAUAUACAUGCAAUAUAGAUAUAUAUGCAUGUAGGCAUAAAAUUCA